rnacentral:rRNA from 1 species
CUACGUGCCAGCAGCCGCGGUAAUACGUAGGUCCCGAGCGUUGUCCGGAUUUAUUGGGCGUAAAGCGAGCGCAGGCGGUUAGAUAAGUCUGAAGUUAAAGGCUGUGGCUUAACCAUAGUACGCUUUGGAAACUGUUUAACUUGAGUGCAGAAGGGGAGAGUGGAAUUCCAUGUGUAGCGGUGAAAUGCGUAGAUAUAUGGAGGAACACCGGUGGCGAAAGCGGCUCUCUGGUCUGUAACUGACGCUGAGGCUCGAAAGCGUGGGGAGCGAACAGGAUUAGAUACCCUGGUAGUCCACGCCGUAAACGAUGAGUGCUAGGUGUUAGGCCCUUUCCGGGGCUUAGUGCCGCAGCUAACGCAUUAAGCACUCCGCCUGGGGAGUACGACCGCAAGGUUGAAACUCAAAGGAAUUGACGGGGGCCCGCACAAGCGGUGGAGCAUAUGGUUUAAUUCGAAGCAACGCGAAGAACCUUACCAGGUCUGACAUCCCGAUGCCCGCUCUAGAGAUAGAGUUUUAUU